rnacentral:lncRNA from 1 species
AGAUCCCCUGGGAUGGCCGGGCCCGGGUGCCCGCCGCUCCCCGGAGGGGUCCCAGAUGUGCGGGCUGCGUACGGAGCUCCAACAUCUGCGCAAAGGCCCAGGGUGGGGUGGCCACCGGGUGGGCGCUGGCCAAGAGGAGCCCGGGGCGCGAGGUCUUUUCUGAAAAAACCCUUUCGGGGAACUCCAACGCAGGGACGUCGACAUGAAGAGAAAGGUGGACGCGAGCUCGGUCAUUCAAAGUCUCCCCCACCCCGCCGCAGCCACUACCCAGCAGGGGAAAAAGGAGAGGAAGAAAGAAAGGAGAGAGAAGAAAGUAGUUGCGCCGGGCUGCGUCGCGGGGCGGUGCGCGGAGCUGUUCGGAAGGGAGAGGAGCUUCAACUCUGAGUCCCGUGAACAGAAUCUGCGCGGUUAUAACCAGCCAACCCGGCCAGAUGGCUCCGCGCUCAGCGCCUUAACCCCUUCCGCGCCGCGCCGCCCUCCCCCGCCGGCCCGCGCCGCGCCGCGCGCGCCCGCGCCCCAGAGCCCCCCCCCCGCCCUCACUUCGGGACCCGUGGCGGGGAAGGGGUCAUUUCUCCUGGCCCCUCUUGAAAAACAAAACCAAACCAAACAACAACAGCAACAAAAACUUCCA